rnacentral:rRNA from 1 species
AGUGAACGCUGGCGGUAGGCCUAACACAUGCAAGUCGAACGGCAGCACAGUAAGAGCUUGCUCUUACGGGUGGCGAGUGGCGGACGGGUGAGGAAUACAUCGGAAUCUACUUUUUCGUGGGGGAUAACGUAGGGAAACUUACGCUAAUACCGCAUACGACCUACGGGUGAAAGCAGUGGAUCUUCGGACCUUGCGCGAUUGAAUGAGCCGAUGUCGGAUUAGCUAGUUGGCGGGGUAAAGGCCCACCAAGGCGACGAUCCGUAGCUGAUCUGAGAGGAUGAUCAGCCACACUGGAACUGAGACACGGUCCAGACUCCUACGGGAGGCAGCAGUGGGGAAUAUUGGACAAUGGGCGCAAGCCUGAUCCAGCCAUACCGCGUGGGUGAAGAAGGCCUUCGGGUUGUAAAGCCCUUUUGUUGGGAAAGAAAAGAAGCAGGUUAAUCCCCCGAUGUUCUGACGGUACCCAAAGAAUAAGCACCGGCUAACUUCGUG